GCUGUCAGCUUCCACUUUCUCCACCUGCAGGACAGGCACAGUCAGCUGAGCAGGUUUCUCAGGGAGCCCCGGCUGCUGUGAGCCUGGUGACCAAGAGCCGUCCUUCUGUUAAACCUGGGUUUGCAGACUCUAAGCCCUCCGCUCUUUCAUGGACACACUACAGAAGAAAGACAGGUACGCCUUGGGGGUCCUAUUGGGAUAAGGAACCUCAGGACUGAGAAAGCAAGAGAUUCUCAAUCCUUAUAAAAGGCACUCUGUGUUAAAACCUGAGAGCCUGAAAAUGUCAUUUCCUAGCUGAGUGUCCUUGGGCUGGUGGAGAAGUGAACAAGGUACAUACUUCAAAUACCGAGCACACCCCGGCACGGCACGUGGUAAGCUCCAGGCAAUUGCCUGGGCAGCAAAGAUGCUCAGUGAAGCCUCACUGUUAAGAGCAAAAAAUUAGAAACUACGUAUCCAAUAAUAAGGGAAAUAGUUAACUAAUUAAGCAAUGUCUAUGUCCUACUAAACAGCCAAAAAAGAGGGGAAAGAGGAAGGAGCUAAAGGAAUGUUGUAUAGAUCAUUAUGGACCCUUAAGUGAAAAGAGCAAGUUAUCCAACAGUUUGGCAUUGGGGACAGACAGACUUGAGUCUAAGUCUCAGCUCUCCUAGCUGUCUGUCUUAGGCAAGGUUCUUCAACUGCUCUAAGCUUCAGAGACAGAUAAAUGGGAGCUGUAAUUAUUACUUUAUUUUUAUCACUAUCAUUAACAAACCUAUGGGUCUGGUGUUCCCUGGUGGCCUAGCGGUUAAGAAUCCAGAGUGGUCACUGCUGUGGCUUGGGUUACUGCUGUGGCUUGGGUUCAGUCCCUAGCCCAGGAAUUUCCACAUACCAUGGGAGCAGCCAAAACCAACCAACCAACCAACCUAUGGGCCAACAUUGGCAGAGUUUCUGACUCCUAUUAUCAUCUGUCUAUCAUCUAGUAUUUCAUCUCCCCAACAACCCUGAUCUUAAUACCUUUUAUUCAUGAAGACACUGAGGCUCAGAGAAGUUAAACCUUGAUGACAAAGUCCCCAAGUCAUCAGUAGGGUAGUCAGGAUUUGAAUCCAGUUCUGCCUGGCUGCAAGUUUCAUACUCCUUAACCCACUGUACCCUGCUGGCACCUGGCACGGAUAACAAACUUUCAGUGUCAUGGGAUCAUCGCACUUUAUUUCUGAGAGAGUCAUCCUGGGACACUGCUGGAGC
rnacentral:lncRNA from 1 species